rnacentral:rRNA from 1 species
UCUCAUGGUUUCUUUGGAGUUAAAGCUGUCAGAAAUGGAAACUCAAAUCAGCACUGUUGGCCUGAUUAGUACUUGGAUGGGAGACCUCCUGGGAAUACCAGAUACUGUAAGCU